UACAGAGGGUGCAAGCGUUAAUCGGAAUUACUGGGCGUAAAGCGUGCGUAGACGGUUACAUAAGUCGGGUGUGAAAGCCCCGGGCUCAACCUGGGAAUUGCAUUCGAGACUGCGUAGCUAGGGUACGGAAGAGGGAGGCGGAAUUUCAGGUGUAGCGGUGAAAUGCGUAGAUAUCUGGAGGAACACCGGUGGCGAAGGCGGUCUGCUGGGCAGUAGCUGACACUGAGGCGCGACAGCGUGGGGAGCAAACAGG
rnacentral:rRNA from 1 species